rnacentral:rRNA from 1 species
AUUGAACGCUGGCGGCAGGCCUAACACAUGCAAGUCGAGCGGCUGCAGGGAGCUUGCUCCUGGAUUCAGCGGCGGACGGGUGAGUAAUGCCUAGGAAUCUGCCUGGUAGUGGGGGCUAACGUCCGGAAACGGGCGCUAAUACCGCAUACGUCCUGAGGGAGAAAGUGUGGGAUCUUCGGAUCUUCCGCUCUCAGAUGAGCCGAGGUCGGAUUAGCUAGUUGGUGGGGUAAAGGCCUACCAAGGCGACGAUCCGUAACUGGUCUGAGAGGAUGAUCAGUCACACUGGAACUGAGACACGGUCCAGACUCCUACGGGAGGCAGCAGUGGGGAAUAUUGGACAAUGGGCGAAAGCCUGAUCCAGCCAUGCCGCGUGUGUGAAGAAGGUCUUCGGAUUGUAAAGCACUUUAAGUUGGGAGGAAGGGCAGUAAGUUAAUACCUUGCUGUUUUGACGGUACCAACAGAAUAAGCACCGGCUAACUUCGUG